rnacentral:lncRNA from 1 species
CUUCUAAUAAACUCCUGUGUUGUGGUGAAGUUCUUAGGUCUAUUUAGACUCGACAAAGGAGGAUUUGUCGUUUAGUCCUUAAACCUGUUCGCGACCAAAUGAUAUGUUGUUACCAAGGACAACAAUGUUUAUCGAGCAUAGGUCAUUGUGUGCCAUAUAGGUUGGUUGUCCUCUUAACCAAGGAGUAUGGAGACACUGGUAUGGCAUACAGGUG